rnacentral:misc_RNA from 1 species
CUCUUUGUGUGUUGCAAGAAGCAGCGGAGACAGAGGUUGUUCUUGAAAUUGGAGACAAUUUGCUUCGAGAGAGAUAAGUAGGUGGGGGAUGUGAGUAGUAUGCUAGUCAUAGGAUUAAAGCUGGUUGUUUGAAGUGGGUUAAAGUGGAGGAGUGACAUGAGAGUCUGAGUUUCACUUGAUCACAAAAUUUUUAAUAGGUUGAAAGGAAAAUUUUAUUGUACAGCUAUACGACUAGCUCGGCCAUGUUAUAUGAUAGUGGGUGUUGGACACUGAAGUAGUUGCAUGUGUCUAAGAUAAGAUUUGCAGAGAAGUGGGUGAGUAAUCAUACUAGACUAGAUAAAGUUCACAAGAGUAUUAAAGAAAAGAUAGGAGGAGCGGUGUUAAUCUAGGAAAAGUUGAGAGAAGAGAGGUUGAGGUGGUUUGAUCACGUGAAGCGUUAGACAAGUAGAGCACACAAG